AGUGAACGCUGGCGGCAGGCCUAACACAUGCAAGUCGAGCGGAUGAACGGAGCUUGCUCCUGUAUUCAGCUGCCGACGGGUGGGUGAUUCCUAGAAAUCUGCCUGGUCGUUGGUUCUAAGGUCCUGAAACGGGCACUAAUACCGCAUUCGUCCUUAUGUCGUAAGUGGGGGAUCAUCGGACCUCACGCUAUUAGAUGAUCCUAUGUCGGAUUAGCUAGUUGGUGGGGUAACGGCCUACCAAGGCGACGAUCCGUAACUGGUCUGAGAGGAUGAUCAGUCACACUGGAACUGAGACACGGUCCAGACUCCUACGGGAGGCAGCAGUGGGGAAUAUUGGACAAUGGGCGAAAGCCUGAUCCAGCCAUGCCGCGUGUGUGAAGAAGGUCUUCGGAUUGUAAAGCCCUUUUAGUGGGGAAGAAGAGCAGUAAGUUAAUACCUCGCUGUUUUGACGGUACCCAAAGAAUAAGCACCGGCUAACUUCGUG
rnacentral:rRNA from 1 species